rnacentral:ribozyme from 14 species
AAGCACAAACUGGUAAGCGUUAUUUUGUCAAAUACUUAUUGGUUUUAUUCUUCAUUUUUUUUCUUUAUCUCA